rnacentral:rRNA from 1 species
UACGAAGGGUGCAAACGUUGCUCGGAAUCAUUGGGCGUAAAGCGCACGUAGGCGGCUUCGCAAGUCGGAUGUGAAAUCCCACGGCUCAACCAUGGACGUGAAUCCGAAACUGUGAGGCUUGAGUAUGGAAGAGGGUCGCGGAAUUCCCGGUGUAGAGGUGAAAUUCGUAGAUAUCGGGAGGAACACCAGUGGCGAAGGCGGCGACCUGGGCCAAUACUGACGCUCAUGUGCGAAAGCGUGGGGAGCAAACAGG